UUUUGUGAUCAUUGACAACGCUAGCUCAAAGGGUUGCCAUGCUUUCCAGUUUCCAGUCAUAUGACUCUACCAGUCUAUCUACCAAAUUAGUCGACAGUACCUUUUUUUUCAUUAGUUUUUUACCAAUCUAUUAUGAUCAUAUAUAGUUCUAUCCGUCAACUCCUGCGAUACUUAUAGCUUUCUCCUUUUCCCUAUGCAUAAAUGUG